rnacentral:lncRNA from 1 species
CAACUAGGGUUACAGAACUAAAAGAAAUUGUUCAUUUAGUUUGUUAAAAAUCAGCUUAUUAUCAGUCAUUCAAAAAGAUUAAGAAAUGCAAUUAUUAGGGCUCUGAGUGCGAUAAUGGGAAUCUUGAAAUCCUCUCUGCAACAGCUCCUUUACUGUAGCCAGAUUAUCUUGAAUCUAUUCCUUGAACUAAUGGUGACUAUUUCUAACUCUGUACCCUUACUUAAGCUCUUCUCCCCCCAUAGAUGUCCUCGCCACUACCUAGCAUUUUCCAAAAUCCUACCCGUCAUGAAGGUUAAAUCCUAUCUCAUAGCUCCAUGAAGGAACCCUCUCUAACCCACCACGUCCACCUCUAACUCUACUGUCCCAAAUACUCACCCUGACAGUUUAUACACUUUAUUGUUACUGCCUGUAGAUGCUGCCUGUGAAAGAAUUAAAUAUUUAUCUGGUAAUAAAACAAGUCUGCAUACGUUAUUCUAUUUUUAAUCUUGAAAACAAUUAAGUGUGAUGAAAAGGGAACUUUGUUUUAGAGAAGUACACUGAUGUUUACAACAUGAAACUUUUGAUAACAGGCAUGUUUUCGAGUCUGGUAGUUGUUCCGCAAUGUUGAGUCCUUCCUACUUCCACAAUAAGAGAACUUUUAGGUGAGCAUACCGCUGCCCAGAGUAAAGACUGCACUCUCCGUGCUUCCUUGUAGCUAUGUGACUGUGUGACUAAGUUCUGAACCAUAAGAUGGAAGUGGAAUUGUAGUGUGAGAGCUUUUGGGAGCCUUUAUUAAGAGACAGUGUUUAUGUACACAUUGCUUUUUUCUUCAUCUUUUCUUUCUGGAAUAUGAAAGCCUUCUGAUAUGAAUGCCACCAUCUUGGAAAGUGAAGCAUUUUUUGGAAGAAAGGAGACCUGCUCUACUCUAUCCCCCCAAGCACUUCAGGUCAGUGGGUAAGUCCUCUGAGAUUCAUGGAGGGCUCAUGCACCAAGGUCAUGAUGAUUUUGGGUUGGGAACGAAGGAAGCCUUCAGUCUCUCACAGUACUGCACAAAAAUGGA